rnacentral:rRNA from 1 species
UGGGUAACCUGCCUCAUAGAGGGGAAUAGCCUUUCGAAAGGAAGAUUAAUACCGCAUAAGAUUGUAGCUUCGCAUGAAGUAGCAAUUAAAGGAGUAAUCCGCUAUGAGAUGGACCCGCGUCGCAUUAGCUAGUUGGUGAGGUAACGGCUCACCAAGGCAACGAUGCGUAGCCGACCUGAGAGGGUGAUCGGCCACACUGGGACUGAGACACGGCCCAGACCUCUACGGGAGG